GACCUCGGAUCAGGUAGGGAUACCCGCUGAACUUAAGAUAUCUA
rnacentral:rRNA from 1 species